AUUGAACGCUGGCGGCAGGCCUAACACAUGCAGGUCGAGCGGAUGAAGGGAGCUUGCUCCUGGAUUCAGCGGCGGACGGGUGAGUAAUGCCUAGGAAUCUGCCUGGUAGUGGGGGAUAACGUCCGGAAACGGGCGCUAAUACCGCAUACGUCCUGAGGGAGAAAGUGGGGGAUCUUCGGACCUCACGCUAUCAGAUGAGCCUAGGUCGGAUUAGCUAGUUGGUGGGGUAAAGGCCUACCAAGGCGACGAUCCGUAACUGGUCUGAGAGGAUGAUCAGUCACACUGGAACUGAGAAACGGUCCAGACUCCUACGGGAGGCAGCAGUGGGGAAUAUUGGACAAUGGGCGAAAGCCUGAUCCAGCCAUGCCGCGUGUGUGAAGAAGGUCUUCGGAUUGUAAAGCACUUUAAGUUGGGAGGAAGGGCAGUAAGUUAAUACCUUGCUGUUUUGACGUUACCAACAGAAUAAGCACCGGCUAACUUCGUG
rnacentral:rRNA from 1 species